rnacentral:rRNA from 1 species
CAACCAGACUCCUACGGGAGGCAGCAGUGGGGGAUAUUGCACAAUGGGGGAAACCCUGAUGCAGCGACGCCGCGUGAGUGAAGAGGUAUUUCGGUAUGUAAAGCUCUAUCAGCAGGAAAGAAAAUGACGGUACCUGACUAAGAAGCCCCGGCUAACUACGUGCCAGCAGCCGCGGUAAUACGUAGGGGGCAAGCGUUAUCCGGAUUUACUGGGCGUAAAGGGAGCGCAGGCGGCGCGCCAAGUCUGAUGUGAAACCCCGGGGCUCAACCCCGGGCAUGCAUUGGAAACUGGCGGGCUGGAGUGCCGGAGAGGUAAGCGGAAUUCCUAGUGUAGCGGUGAAAUGCGUAGAUAUUAGGAGGAACACCAGUGGCGAAGGCGGCUUACUGGACGGCAACUGACGCUGAGGCUCGAAAGCGUGGGGAGCAAACAGGAUUAGAUACCCGAGUAA